rnacentral:tmRNA from 1 species
CGCCUUGCAAAUCGCCCCGCUUCACCCUAUUUCUCAUUUGCCGUCGCAAGGCGGCUAUGGUGCUAAACCGACUGUGCAAUAGAUGGACCGGACGCGGUUUCGAAACCGCCACCUCCACCAGGAACCCGCCCGCGCGACGUCAGUGUCGGACGGGCUGCUGAUGGGGGUGAAAUGGGAUCGACGGACGUUGAAAGACAGUACGCUGUACCCGGCAUUGUACCACCGUUAUCGGGCUAAACUAGUAGUUGCAAACGACAACUAUGCGGAAGCACGUCUCGCCGCUUAAUGCGGUGCGAUAGCUUCAAAUCAAGCCCUAUGGGUUCGCACCUUUAGGCGGGGUUCGGAGGUACCUGGCAACAGAAACCUCCACU